ensembl:snRNA U7 U7 small nuclear RNA
CAGUGCUACAGGUUUUUUAGAAUGUGUCUAGCAGGCUUUCCGGUCCACACCGGAAGCCACC